rnacentral:rRNA from 1 species
AGCGAACGGACGAGGAGCUUGCUCCUUUGAAGUUAGCGGCGGACGGGUGAGUAACACGUGGGUAACCUACCUAUAAGACUGGAAUAACUCCGGGAAACCGGGGCUAAUGCCGGAUAACAUGUUGAACCGCAUGGUUCAACAGUGAAAGACGGUCUUGCUGUCACUUAUAGAUGGACCCGCGCCGUAUUAGCUAGUUGGUGGGGUAACGGCCUACCAAGGCGACGAUACGUAGCCGACCUGAGAGGGUGAUCGGCCACACUGGAACUGAGACACGGUCCAGACUCCUACGGGAGGCAGCAGUAGGGAAUCUUCCGCAAUGGGCGAAAGCCUGACGGAGCAACGCCGCGUGAGUGAUGAAGGUCUUCGGAUCGUAAAGCUCUGUUGUUAGGGAAGAACAAAUGUGUAAGUAACUGUGCACGUCUUGACGGUACCUAACCAGAAAGCCACGGCUAACUACGUGCCAGCAGCCGCGGUAAUACGUAGGUGGCAAGCGUUAUCCGGAAUUAUUGGGCGUAAAGCGCGCGUAGGCGGUUUUUUAAGUCUGAUGUGAAAGCCCACGGCUCAACCGUGGAGGGUCAUUGGAAACUGGAAAACUUGAGUGCAGAAGAGGAAAGUGGAAUUCCAUGUGUAGCGGUGAAAUGCGCAGAGAUAUGGAGGAACACCAGUGGCGAAGGCGGCUUUCUGGUCUGCAACUGACGCUGAUGUGCGAAAGCGUGGGGAUCAAACAGGAUUAGAUACCCUGGUAG